rnacentral:rRNA from 1 species
UACGUAUGGUGCAAGCGUUAUCCGGAUUUACUGGGCGUAAAGGGAGCGCAGGCGGCGCGCCAAGUCUGAUGUGAAACCCCGGGGCUCAACCCCGGGCAUGCAUUGGAAACUGGCGGGCUGGAGUGCCGGAGAGGUAGGCGGAAUUCCUAGUGUAGCGGUGAAAUGCGUAGAUAUUAGGAGGAACACCAGUGGCGAAGGCGGCUUACUGGACGGCAACUGACGCUGAGGCUCGAAAGCGUGGGGAGCAAACAGG